rnacentral:ncRNA from 1 species
ACAGGGGAGCUGAUCGAUUCGGCUGAGAUCGCGCGUACCGCCGCGCGGGACCCUUUGACCUGAUUCGGGUAAUGCCGACGGAGGGAAAUCGCGU